GUCUACAGCCAUCCCACCCUGACUGUGCCUGAUCUUGUUACUCUCAGAAGCUAGGCAGAGCCGGCCUGGUUAACACAUGGGUGGAUACUGGGUGCUGUACGCU
rnacentral:rRNA from 1 species